rnacentral:lncRNA from 1 species
UUUUUUUUUUUUUUUUUUUUUUUUUUUUUUAUGUAAGCUCUUCCCCCAGCCUGGGGCUUGACCUCACUACUCCAAGAUGAAGAGUCACAUGCUUCACUGAGCCGGCCAAGAGCUUCUACUGAAGGUUUUUGUAUAGGGAAAAGUCAUGAGCAGAACUACGUUUUAGGAUUUUUAAUCUGGCAGCUAAUAAAGAUUAGAGGAAGAGAAGAAAAGAAUGGGGAUUAGUUGAUAUGAUUGUGCAAUGAUGAUGAGUAAUGGGAACCUAAACUAUGCUAGUAGCAUUAUUAAUAGAGCAGGGGCACCUGGAUGGCUCAGUGGUUGAGCAUCUACCUUGGCUUAGGCUGUGAUCCUGGAGUCCUGGGAUCGAGUCCCACAUCGGGCUCCCCACAGGGAGCCUGCUUUACACGUUAUAUUGUACACUUUAAAAGGAUGGAUUUUAUGAUCUGCCUAAUGUCUCUGCCUCUCUGUGUGUUUCAUGAAUAAAUAAUAUCUUUUAAAAACAAUAGAACAUACCUUAAGAUCUACAGAAUAUCUCAUUUUAUAUGUCAACCAUGCUGAACAGUGAUGGGAUACUGAAAAUAGAGACCUGAGAUACUGCAAUUACUCACUUAAGAAAGAUUAAAUUAUGUUUAACACAGGCUAAAAGAUAAACGAUUGAAAGAAAAAAAAUUCAUUCUGGAGUUUUAUCUUAUGCCAGAGACCAAGUAAAUUACAGGUAGGAUUCCAAAAGAAACCUUAAAGCAUAGUUGUCUCAAAUAGUGGUAACUAUCACAUUCCCAUCAGCAGACCAAAAUUCGUGAUGGAGUUAUAUUGGAUCCUCGAUGGUAAAUAUAUUUGGCGAAGUGUCCUUUUCUUAGCUCAGAUGAAGUGGCUUUCCUUCAAUAAUCAUUCAAAAUCAGCCUCUUUUUCAUUGUAAGACGGUAAUGAGUAGUGAGUCAUUUUCUAAUUACAAUUUCUAAGCACUUUUGAAAAAUUCUCUCUGAUUUCUGAUCAGAUCAUUAAUCCAGUGCACGUGGGCCAUACUAUGCUGUGUUUACGGAGAACCCCGAGAUCUUAGUGACUCAACACAGUGAAACUCUUAGCCACGUUCUUGGUUUGUUAAGAGCUUGGCUCUGUUUUUAUCCUCCAAGAUGCAGGCUGAUAGAGUCUCGUUUAUGGAAUACACCACCCACCAUGGCAAGAGGAGAAUGUGGGGAACCUACCACUAGCUGUGAAAAGACUUGCUGAGCGUGACGCACAACCUUCAUACUCAAAUUGCAAUGGUCAAACCUAGUCAUACUUUGCCAACGGGUACCAGUUGCUUUUUGUGACAAUGGUACAAAAGUUGUAAAGUUAAUGGUGUUACUUGCAUAACUGAAAAUACUAAAAUCUACUGAAUUGUACACUUUUAAAAGGAUGAAUUUUAUGAUCUGAGAGUUGCAUCUCAAAAUUAUUAGAAGAAGAAUCUAAACCAGAGUUUUAACACAACAACAACAACAAAACUAGCUGCAUAGCCACAACUGACACCAAGGGAUAGGUAAGUACAGUCCUACUCUAUUUCCUGGAAGGAGGAAAACUGAAGUAGUGGUAGAAAGCUGCAAUAGCUGCUGUACUUAACAUUUGUUUACAAAUUCCAUUGUAGGCCAUUUUGAUGAAAGUUGUUUUUACCCCCUGAUAAAUAGCCAAUACAAGCCAUUCAAAUAAGCCACUGAUUUUGUUACUGAAAUUUCAGAAUUCUAAUGCAGAGAUUCCAAGUACAGAUUGUAAGUAAGCAAAUAUACACAAAAAUAUCAACAAAUUAUAUACCACAGCCCUGAUUCUAAUGUUUGCAGGGCCCGGUCACUGAAAAUGGAGGUCAUAAAUAAUCAAAAUCAUCAGAAGUCAUAAAUCACACUAACAAACUGUUCCUACCUUGGCAAACAUGCCUUCUUAAGGUUCCCAGGAUUCUUGGACUCCUCAAGCCCUGCACUAAGGAGUUCAAAGCAGGGAGAGAUGGACUCCGAGAGCCCUCCUUGUCCCAGUGCCAUCUCCCAAGGACAACCCACCCCAGCUCCUGCAGAGGUGCUGCUUGAGCAGUCCAGACUUUUGGAAUGUGCUCUUCAGUUUCAUCUGUCCUCCUGGGAUGGAGCAGAAAGGCAAGGCCUUGGAAGAGGUUUUCCAGGUGUGGAGGGACAUGCCCCUGGGCUCUGUGGUGUUCUCACCCUGUAGGUAGGGAUGUAUGCUAGAGUGGCAUAGAACCUAGCCCUCAAGCAAAGGGUCCAGGGCUGGGGGUCUCUUGCCUGGAUUUUAGGGAGGUUUUUCUAUUAAGUAUGUAGUAAAAUUUUGACAGAAUUUCAGAAAUGUCUUUUUGAGGUUUUGUAUGCCACCUUGUGGUAUUUUGAUGAACACUUAAUAACAUGAUAUUGUAGAAAAAGGAGAUGCUGAGCUACAAUUUAAAAAAAAUGUAUUUUAAAUGAGAAUAAUAAUCUUGGCUUGAAAAGGUAUUUUUAAAUAUUACAUUUUCAAUGUAAAAAAAAUUUUCUUAUAUGACCAUCUGAAAAAAAGCAAACCACUAAGAUUUAUAAAAGACAACUUACUACAUAUUUAGCUUUGGGAUUCAUUUAUACACUCAGAAAAGGUAUGUAUCAAAUGCCCGCUCUGCUCCAGGUACUGUUCUGGCACUGAGGUUAUAUUAGUGAAAAACAAAACUCCCUACCCUCCUAGAGUUACAUUCCAAUAGGAUAUAAUAAAGUAGUAACCCGUAGUUCUUAAUGAAUACAUUUGUUUACUCACAUCCAAUCUUAAAAAUCUUACCAUCUCACUGGUAGCCUUUUGCACAGGCAUCUUGUCUGGCUCCCUAUGUUAAACCUUGAGAAAAAAAAAAGUGUUCUCUUCUGCUUAUUUUGGACUGCAUAGAAAGUUGUUAACGGUUUUGUUCACAGGUCCUAAAAGGACUAUGUCACUUCCAGUGGGAAUUUCUGAACAGUAUAAUUAGUAAAUAAAAGAAAAAA